GGCCGAGUGGCGGAAUUGGCAGACGCUCUGGACUUAAAAUCCAGUGUGGGGUAACCCACGUGCGGGUUCGAGUCCCGCCUCGGCUA
rnacentral:tRNA from 1 species